rnacentral:rRNA from 1 species
GUGCCAGCAGCCGCGGUAAUACCGGCAGCCCAAGUGAUGGCCGAUCUUAUUGGGCCUAAAGCGUCCGUAGCUGGCUGCGCAAGUCCAUCGGGAAAUCCACACGCCCAACGGGUGGGCGUCCGACGGAAACUGCAUAGCUUGGGACCGGAAGGCGCGAAGGGUACGUUCGGGGUAGGAGUGAAAUCCCAUAAUCCCGCACGGACCACCGAUGGCGAAAGCACUUCGAGAAAACGGAUCCGACAGUGAGGGACGAAAGCCAGGGUCUCCAACCGGAUUAGAUACCCCAGUAGUCC